CCUGUGCAAGAUGUCAAUGUGCUACUUCCUUAGUCAGGUUGGCCAACGGACGAUGAAGGUAGGACAUAUUGGCCAACCUAUCUUAGAGAUUAGCCAGCUAGUCCACCAAGAGAUAGGCCGAAUACAAUAAGAUUGAGAUCAUGUUCAGCAACUCGGCUAUAUUAUUUGAGGAGAUGAAUUCAUCAAAUAGGGUGGUAAGAUUGUGUUGCAACGACUUCUCAACCACCAUCACUUUUGUCGCAGCAUUAGUUAACAAAUGGCCAAUACAAGCAUUGGCUGAUCAGGCCAACAACCUGGCUUCAGCACUAGCCAUAGAGUGGAAGAUGGAAAGGUAGCUAGAGAGUGGAACAUGGAAAGGUUGCCCAGAUCCUACAAAAAGGAGUCAGAUCAGUAAACAAACAAACAUUGUCAUAAAAGCAGCUAAAUAGUACCUUAUGGCCAGCAGUCGAGAAGCUGAAGAGAGGUGCCUUUAGAGAUGCAAAUGGAGUCAGGUAAAUAGAAGCUCAAACUCAUCAAGCCAAGGAAUAUCAGCAAUAACAUCAUUCGCAAGGAACAAAGGGUGCCCCAACACCUAUAGCUCUCAAGGAUGAUCAGGAUGUAGAGAUUAACGAGUUAACUUGGUAAUGGAAGCCAAAUCUCCUACAGAUUAGGCCUGUGGUAAGUUCAUGGUGUUGGUAGUGGCAUCAAGUGAGUCAUCUUUCGAAUCUUCACUAAUUUCUAGUACUAUAGCAGAUUUAGAAAAGGCGGCCCCACUUGUCUCUAUAGGGCAUCUCAUUAUAUCAUUGUGUCAAAAAGGAGUAGGCUUGGGCAUGUGAACCACUGCCUUUAUCCUUUCAAGUGCAGGAACUUCAGUCUUUGGUACUAACCAAACUGGAGGAUCUGUCAAAGGAA
rnacentral:lncRNA from 1 species